rnacentral:tRNA from 1 species
GGGCGCUUAGCUCAGUUGGUCAGAGCGUCUGCCUUACAAGCAGAAGGUCACAGGUUCGAGACCUGUAGCGCCCA